rnacentral:rRNA from 1 species
UACGUAGGGGGCAAGCGUUGUCCGGAAUCAUUGGGCGUAAAGCGCGUGUAGGCGGCUCGGUAAGUCCGCUCUGAAAGCCCGGGGCUCAACCCCGGGAGGCGGGUGGAUACUGCUGAGCUCGAGUCCGGAAGAGGAGUGUGGAAUUCCUGGUGUAGCGGUGAAAUGCGCAGAUAUCAGGAGGAACACCAAUGGCGAAGGCAGCACUCUGGGACGGUACUGACGCUGAGGCGCGAAAGCUAGGGGAGCGAACAGG